GACGAACGCUGGCGGCGUGCCUAACACAUGCAAGUCGAACGGAGAUAUUGAGAAGUUUACUUUUUAAUAUUUUAGUGGCGGACGGGUGAGUAACGCGUGAGCAAUCUGCCUUUUAGAGGGGGAUAACACAGGGAAACUUGUGCUAAUACCGCAUAAUGUAUAUUUUCGGCAUCGGAGAUAUACCAAAGGAGCAAUCCGCUGAAAGAUGAGCUCGCGUCCGAUUAGAUAGUUGGUGAGGUAACGGCUCACCAAGUCUGCGAUCGGUAGCCGAACUGAGAGGUUGAUCGGCCACAUUGGGACUGAGACACGGCCCAGACUCCUACGGGAGGCAGCAGUGGGGGAUAUUGCGCAAUGGGGGAAACCCUGACGCAGCAACGCCGCGUGAAGGAUGAAGGUCUUCGGAUCGUAAACUUCUGUCUUUGGGGAAGAAUCAAUGACGGUACCCAAGGAGGAAGCCACGGCUAACUACGUG
rnacentral:rRNA from 1 species